UAACUUCGCCCAUGAGGCGGGGACAACAUUCGGAAACGGAUGCUAAUACCCCAUAGGUGGAUUGGUCGCAUGACGAAUUCAUUAAAGGUGGCUUUGCUACCACUCAUGGAUAGCCUCGCGGCGUAUUAGCUAGUUGGUAAGGUAAUGGCUUACCAAGGCAGUGAUACGUAGCCGACUUGAGAGGGUGAUCGGCCACACUGGGACUGGGACACGGCCCAG
rnacentral:rRNA from 1 species